rnacentral:lncRNA from 1 species
GCCUCUCCAACCGUAGCCUUGGCCGGCUAGACCCCCUCCGCGUCGUCCCACGCCGCUCCCCUCCCCCACUGUCGCGAAGCUCCCGCCCGAGCGGACCACGUGCCGGGAACCGGGCGGGGAGAGACCACUCUUGAACCCCUUCCGGCUUCCUCGAACACCCCAGGCUGCAGCCCAUGCUCCCUAUGCUGGGUCCUCAGCUCUCCUAUCUUCAAAUGACAUCUCUUAUUACCUCUGUUAGUGAGAGUGGCCAUAAUUUUCUGCAGCCAGGACCUUCGAAGCUAUUAAAAAAUCACUGGUAG